rnacentral:lncRNA from 1 species
CCCCCAGAGACUACCUGCAGUUUUAUACACGUCGUUUUGUACUCUCUUCUAUGUGUUUGCAUAGGUGACAUUCACAAAGCUGUCUUGACACUUUCCAUGUGAUUCAUCUCUUGUUCUAUAGUUUGUAUAAACCUAUCGAGAAUAUAAAAUCCAGCAACUGAAAUUAUGGUCACAACUGUAUGAAAACUUAAGAACAUACAUCAGUUCUGUCAUAUAAUGGAACAACUAUGCUCAACUUAUGUUCAGUGAAAUGUAUAUACUGUAGUUAUUUUAAAUAACCCUUAAUACAAAUAAAAUGGUAUAAUUUGAAUUGGAUGUAAAACAUGGAGCAAGCCCCAGAAAAUGUUUCCCACGAUUAUACGUUGGCAGUCAGUUUCCCACCAAUCAAAAUUUACUUGUCUUUUAUCUCACUCCCCCAGGAACAUGCUCUUUUAAAUGCCACGAUUUGAUUAGUCUGAAAGAGUCUGCGAUAAUCUCUAAUCACCCAUUGAGUGUCCAAGGAAAACCUUAGCCCUGGUAAGAGGAUAAGGAUUUUUGUCUUCUAGAACACAUUUUGGGAAUCUAAUCCAAUUCCUUUAUAAAUCUUUUGGGGUAAAAAUUAUAUCACAAAUAUAUACUGUUAAUUUUUCUUGGCUACUAGGAGCAAAUUGGGCUCCCUCAAAUUUGGUAAAAUAUGCUGAAUACUUACCGAAAAUGCUGGAACAUUAGCUUAGGAAACUUUGCAUAAGAGUUAUUCACUUGGAAAUGAGAAUCUUUAAAGGCUUUAUAAAGACCCCAAAUCUCUG